rnacentral:lncRNA from 1 species
GUCAGUACUUUAAAUACUGUUCCCUUCUGGCUUACAAAUUUUCUGCUGAAAGACAUCUGAUAGCCAUGAGAUUAGGUAAAAAUGUUUGCCAGACUGGUCUUGAAGGCAUGUCCUUGUGUGUGGUGUGCUUAUGCAGCCUGUGUGUACUCAGCAGCUUUGGUGGGAGAGCUGGAUCUGAAGUGAGCAUGGGUUGUGUCUUCUCCUGGGGUGUAGUUGUGACUGUUUCCUUGAAGGGGUAGAGCUAGAGCUGGAGGAGCUACAGCCAAAGCCUGGUGUGAGCUGUGGCUUCUCCAUCAGUGCAGUGGAGCUUGCCGCCUUAACAGGGGUGGAGCUGAAGCUGGAGAUGGUGAAGCCAAAGCCUGGUACCAGCCUUAGCUUUACUCCCUGUGAUGCAGGGAGCAAAGGCUGGAGCAAGAGGGCUGGAGCUGAAAACUGGGCUGGGGUCAUGCUGGGGUCAGCCAGAGAGUUAGGCUGUUUUCAGUCUGCUCCCUGUGUUCUGAGACUGGGAGCAAGCAAGUCUUGCUCACGCUCUUCAAGAGUGGAAUCUCAGGGAGUUUGAGCCGUGGCUCAGCAGAAAUGAAUCAGACUAGCAUCCAUAAGGACACAGGUUCAAUCCCUGGCCUCACUCACUGCGUUAAGGAUCUGGUGUUGCCAUGAGCUGUGGUGUAGGUUGCAGACAUGGCUCAUAUUUGGUGUUGCUGUGGCUGUGGUGUAGACCAGCGGCUACAGCUUUGCUUCGACCCCUAGUCUGGAACCUGCAUAUGCUUUGGGUACAGGCCUAAAAAGACAAAAAAAUAAUAAAUACUGAGGGAAGUGAAUUAUCAUCUGGGGUGAGAGAAAGGUAAGGGCAGAGAAGAUGUGGAGAAGGAUGUUAACAAAUGUCCUUUUUUUUUUUGCUUUUUAGGGCCACACCUGCAGCAUAUGGAGUUCCCAGGCUAGGGGUCAAAUCAGAGCUACAGCCAUUGGCAACACACAGCCACACCACAGGCAGAGCAACUUGGGAUCUAAGCCGAGUCUGUGACCUACACCACAGCUCAUGGCAACACCGAAUCCUUAACCCACUGAGCAAGGCCAGGGAUCGGACCUUCAUCCUCAUGGAUACUAGUUGGGUUCAUUUCCACUGAGCCACAAUGGGAGCUCCCCCACCUGAUGUCUUGUAUGCUGUGUGAGAAGUAGAAUAACCACCAUGGAAAGACAAGAAUAGGUGAAUGUAUAAAGAUUGUCAGCUAUGGCUGUCUUAGAGCUCUGCCUUCAAUAAUCAGGGGGUGAUCUAGGACUGAAAGCUUCCUUCAGGCCCUCAAGUUUAAGAAGAUGGGAGGGGAGUGCAGAUAAAAUUCAUAGGCUAGGGGUUGAAUUGGAGCUGCAGCUGCUGGCCUACACCACAGCCACAGCAACCUGGGAUCUGAGCUGUGUCUGCCACCUACACCACAGCUUAUGGCAAUGCUGGAUCCUUAACCCACUGAGCAAGGCCAGCAAACCAGCAUUCGCAUGGAUACUAGUCAGGCUUGUUUCCACUAAACCACAAUUGGAACUCCCAUACUCUCACCACAUUUAUUCAACAAAGUAUUGGAAGUCCUAACCACAGCAAUCUGACAAAAGAAAUAAAAUGUACCCAAAUUGGAAAAGAGCUAAAAUUGUCACCCUAUGCAGAUGACAUGAUACUAUAUAUAGAAAACCCCCAGGACUUCACAUAAAAAUACUAGAGCUGAUCAAUGAAUUCAUCAAAGUAGCAGGAUGCAAGAUUAACAUUCAGAAAUCAGUUGCAUUUCUGUAUAUUAACAAUGAAAUAUUAGAAAAGAAAUAUAAAAAUACAAAACCUUUUAAAAUUGCAUUCCAAAAAAUUAAAUAGCUAGGAAUCAACCUGACUAAGGAGGUGAAAGACUUAUAUGUGGAGAACUAUAAAACAUUGAUCAAGGAAAUUAAAAAGGACUCAAAGAAAUGGAAAGAUAUUUCAUGCUCUGGGAUUGGAAGAAUUAAUAUUGUUAAAAUGGCCAUACUACCCAAAGCAAUGUACAGAUUCAACGCAAUCCCUACCAAGUUACCCAUGACAUUUUUUUUUUCACAGAAUUGGAACAAUCAAUCCAAAAAUUUAUAUGGAAACUUAAAAGACCCAGAAUCACCAAAGCAAUCCUGAGGGACAAAAACCAAACAGGAGACAUAACUCUUCCAGACUUCAGACAAUAUUACAAAGCCACAGUCAUCAAAACAGUGUGGUGCUGGUACCAAAACAGACAUACAGACCAACGGAACAGAAUAGAGAACCCAGAAAUAAACCUGUACACUUUGGUCAAUUAAUCUUUGACAAAUGAGGCAAGAAUAUAAAACGGGAAAAAGAUAGUCUCUUCAGUGAGUCGUGCUGGGAAAACUGGACAGCUGCAUGUAAAUCAAUGAAACUAGAACACACCCUCACACCAUGCACAAAAAUAAACUCAAAAUGACUGAAAGAUUUAAAUAUAAGACAAGACACCAUCAAACUCCUGGAAGAGAACAUAGUCAAAACAUUCUCUGACAUCAACCUUACAAAUGUUUCCUCAGGUCAGUCUCGUCUCCCAAAACAAAAGAGAUAAAAGCCAAGAUAAACCAAUGGGACCUAAUCAAACUGAAAAGCUUUUGUACAGNAAACAGAUAUUUUUCCAAAGAAAACAUACAGAUGGGGCAAUAGGCACAUGAAAAGACGUUCAACAUUGCCACUAGGUGGCAGUGCUGUAUAGUGAGAAAAAGAAAAACCACAUUCAUUCUUUAUCAGAAUUAAAUAUUUCUGUAUACCUAAAUUUAAAAUAUCAGGCUCCCACCUGUGAGAAGUCAUUUUCUCUGUACUUCAACGGUACUGCGUACUGUAACAGCAAGCUUCUCCAUUCAAUUCAAAGUCCCUUAAAGAUGACUGUUUUAUGCUUCUUUAAUCUAUUACAUAAUACCUGCUAAAUAAAUGGGUAUUUUAUGAGUACCCCCGAAUAUAUCUUAAUUUUUUAAUGAUUGUGAAAAAAAUUUAAACAUACAGUUUUUAAGUUUAAUGUAGAGUAGAAAGUAUGAAAGAAGGAAAACAGGAGUUCCCUGUUAGCUCAGUGAGUUGAGGAUUAGGGUGUUGUGCCAGGAGUCACUGCUCAGACACAUGUUCAAGCCCUAGCUGGUGGAUUUCUGCAUGCUGUGAUCACAGCCAAAAAAAAAAAAAAAAAAGAAAAAAA